CAUUUCUGUAAUCAGCUUUUCUGCAGUAUAUCCUACUUAUCUAGUGUGAAUGUGUCAUGAGUGGUUGGAUUACUGUUUUGUGUUAAUUAAGGAAGCUUGUUCAGUUACUGAAUGGCGAGCAACUACGAGGUCUGAAGAACCCUUACACAAGUUGUCCAAUGUUAUGCAGCUUGCAAUUAAGACGCCUUCAGAACAACACUUCAAAGAAAAAAUAUUUCACAUGAAAAUUUUUCAUUAUGUCUCAUGGAUACUUUUGGCUUGCAUUUUAGCCCAAGUCCUACUUGUCGCCACUUUGAACUUGAAACCAACAGGAAGCGCUCAAAAGCUGCAGGCUUCCUGUUUCUGUGAUCGCUCGAAGUGGUUACUGGAAAUACGAAGUCACACAAAUUAUAUUCCCCACUCAUGUCAACCUGAAUAACCAACGCAAAAAUGUAAUAAUGUCAGCCAGUUAAUGUGUCUUUGCCAUCAAACUCUCAUUUUCCGGAAGCACCUGCGUCCAUUUACGGAGUUUGCGCCGUAAAUCAGAUGGACAUUCGUCAAGCAUGCGUUUUGACAAACGCCUUUUGCACAGUGGGGGCCAACAACAGUGCUUGAAGACCCCUUUUUGAAGGAUAACACACAGCUAGCCACCUGGGGAACAGAAGCAUAACCAAGUGUCGAUGGUACUAAAGACACGAAAGCCUCAGGUACAAAAUACGUCAGUCUGUCAAAGAAAUGCUCUGUGGGGCCCUGGGUUAUAUUCCCUUAUAACAUAUACACAUGUUCAAGACAUGUCAAC